rnacentral:rRNA from 1 species
AGAGUUUGAUCCUGGCUCAGGACGAACGCUGGCGGCGUGCCUAAUACAUGCAAGUAGAACGCUGAAGGAGGAGCUUGCUUCUCUGGAUGAGUUGCGAACGGGUGAGUGACGCGUAGGUAACCUGCCUGGUAGCGGGGGAUAACUAUUGGAAACGAUAGCUAAUACCGCAUAAUAGUAGAUGUUGCAUGACAUUUGCUUAAAAGGUGCAAUUGCAUCACUACCAGAUGGACCUGCGUUGUAUUAGCUAGUAGGUGAGGUAACGGCUCACCUAGGCGACGAUACAUAGCCGACCUGAGAGGGUGAUCGGCCACACUGGGACUGAGACACGGCCCAGACUCCUACGGGAGGCAGCAGUAGGGAAUCUUCGGCAAUGGACGAAAGUCUGACCGAGCAACGCCGCGUGAGUGAAGAAGGUUUUCGGAUCGUAAAGCUCUGUUGUAAGAGAAGAACGGGUGUGAGAGUGGAAAGUUCACACUGUGACGGUAUCUUACCAGAAAGGGACGGCUAACUACGUGCCAGCAGCCGCGGUAAUACGUAGGUCCCGAGCGUUGUCCGGAUUUAUUGGGCGUAAAGCGAGCGCAGGCGGUUAGAUAAGUCUGAAGUUAAAGGCUGUGGCUUAACCAUAGUACGCUUUGGAAACUGUUUAACUUGAGUGCAGAAGGGGAGAGUGGAAUUCCAUGUGUAGCGGUGAAAUGCGUAGAUAUAUGGAGGAACACCGGUGGCGAAAGCGGCUCUCUGGUCUGUAACUGACGCUGAGGUUCGAAAGCGUGGGGAGCGAACAGAAUUAGAUACCCUGGUAGUC